rnacentral:rRNA from 1 species
AUACGGAGGAUGCAAGCGUUAUCCGGAUUUAUUGGGUUUAAAGGGUGCGUAGGCGGAUGAUUAAGCGUGAGGUGAAAUGCCACUGCUCAACAGUGGAACUGCCUCGCGAACUGGUUGUCUUGAAUGCUCCUGCCGUGGGAGGAAUGUGUGGUGUAGCGGUGAAAUGCAUAGAGAUCACACAGAACACCGAUUGCGAAGGCAUCUCACGAAGGGGUGAUUGACGCUGAGGCACGAAAGCGUGGGGAUCAAACAGGAUUAGAUACCCUGGUAGUCCACGCAGUAAACGAUGAUAACUAACCGCUGGGUCGUAGUGAUUCAGUGGCCAAGCGAAAGCGAUAAGUUAUCCACCUGGGGAGUACGACCGCAAGGUUGAAACUCAAAUGAAUGGACGGGG